UCCCUUUUGUGAUUCUCUGCUCACGUCCUUGUGUCCAUGUUCAGGUGACAAACAACUGACUGAGGUGGCAGAGUCAGUUUUUUCCCUGGCCCACAUCAGCUGCACAGACAUGAGUGUGCCUGAGAGCCUUUAACAGGAUCACAGAAGGGCUGAGUUUUGCAGAUGCCUCACUUAUACAAAGAGGACUUCAGAGCAACAUGGGGACAGACUUUUUUUACAGAGCCUGCAGAGAUUGGACAAAUGGUGGCCUUUCUCGGGUGAGGACAGAGGCCUCAGGCCCUGCAAUAGGGAAGAUCUCGGAGUUUGUCUCGCUCACCUGUCACAUCUUUGGUGUAGCCAUCACCGACAGCAACUACGCGUGGGACUGGAUCCGGCAGACUCCUGGCAAAGAGCUGCAGCACUUGGUGAUGCAGUAUCCUUUCACACAGCUCCAGCACAUCGCUGCACCCUUCCAGACCCGGGUCAACAGCUCUGCAGACCCCUCCAGGAACCAGCUGUGGCUGCAACUGCUCUCGCCAGUAGCUGCAGACACAGCCAUCUAUUUCUGCAGCAUGAGAGAACUUGAAAAGGGCACAGUGCUUGAAACGCAGGCAGGGCCAGCACAGAAUUGGAAGAAGGGGCUUUAAUCUAGCCAGAUCUUUUGUGGUUGCUGCAAGGCAAGGCUCUUCCCAGACUUGUCAAGAGCUGUCUUUUGGUGCUACAGCAAUAACAACGGCAGUCUCCCACAGGCAAACCCCAAACCAUUAAUGUGUUGUUAACUCCUUCCUUCUCAAUAUCUCUCACAGGCAGAAAGAACCAGGGAAAGAGGGUGGACUCAAACUCUCAAGUUAUUCUGUCACUUUUACCCAUCUAAGAAGGGGGAAAAGAGCAAGCAGCUGUCUGGUGCUCAGUUACCAUUGGUGAUUAAAUUGUGACAAAGAAACACAAUGAGCCCUGAAAGAGCUGCAGUUUUUACAUGGAACUCAUCUGCAUUUGGAUACUUCAUAAUGUUUAGGGAGUCUCACAAUAAUAUUGCCGGAAUACAUACCAAUACUCAAUUAAUUGUAUCUGAGGAAAGAGUGGCACUGCACCAGGAACUGCACUGCUAAGAUGGACUAUCCCAGGACAUGAUAAAAAAACUCUGCUGUGAAAAAUGAGAUUCAGUUUCCUGGUAAACUUUAAAAGGUUUAAUAAAAGACAAAGAGGAGACAAAGACGAUAAAAGCAAAGGGUUAAUUUUGGCAUUCAGCCAAGAGCACCCCCUAACUCAGAAAACACUUCUUUAAAUGCAUCAACAUGUUGCAUAUUCAUAGAACUUCAUGUAUUAUCCAAAAAUAUUCCUUUUGAGUUCCCCAACAUCCCCCCUGCUUCCAUCCUGUAAAUCAACGUUUUUUAUUUCUCGUUUUGGCUCCGUCUUGUCACAGACGAUCAAUAAAUUUCUUCCCUGGGGGUUCCAGUGUCUGUCACCACUCUCUUCAUCCAGAUAGGAUAAUCCAAGCAGGUGAAGGAUUUCCUGAUUAUCUUUUACCAUUUUUGAGCUAGUUUCAUGAACAAGAGCUUUUUACAUCAUCGUGCUAUAGUCCAAGAAAAAUACAUUUAUCACACUUCUAUUUCUAAGUUUUUUUAAUAGCUGAACUAAAAGAAACUAUAUUAAUAUAGCAAAGUUUCCAAACAUUAUACAUAUAGCAUUCAUUUUCAUAUUUGUGUAAAGCCAAUAAUAUAAUAUAUACUUAUAGCAUCUGCACUGCCAGCUCUGGCUCCAUGUGAAUAAACACAGGUGCUCUUCUUCUGAACACUGAGCACACAUUUCUUUCUUUAGUAGUGUAGGCUUUCAUGGAAGACAUAAGGAGACCUUUGCAAAUGCAUCCCUGGGCUUGUGUUCCUGAGCACAGUGCCCAAGGCAUCCCAUACAGGAGCUACAGAUGCCAGAGGGUCAGGCAGCUGUCCCCAGGCUUUGCCCAAUUCUCAGCUUUGGCUUGAUGGAAGAAUUACUGUAGUGGGUUGAUGUCAGAGCCAUUCAACACAACACUGCCAAAAGUGACAAAUACAAAAAUAAUACCACUUGAUUUCUUCUGUCACCUCCCUAUUAUUUUUGUAGGUGUCAGCAGCCCAGGGAUUUCCCCAAGAAGAUAUUCCAGCUCACUUCAAACCACUGCUUUUAGCUGUCCUGUCCAUAGUGGAUGGACAGUGACUUACUGUUUCACUUUCAGUAUCUAAUUUUCUAUGAUCACCUGUAGUGUCUCCAAGACAUCCAUAACCAAGUGUUAUUUUUUGUGUAGAGCAUCCUCUGGAGCAGUGUUAAAUGUUCAGAGGUAGAGCAAUAUUGAGGAAGAGCCAGCACUUCAAAGGCAUGAAAGAGAAGAUAUCACCUGGCACUGAAAAAAAAACCCCAAAUGAUUUUGUAGAACUGUCUAGCACGGUGUGAACUACGUACCACAAUGACUGAAAACAACUGAACCACCACACACAAACUGUCUCCCUCCCUUCUCUUGAAGGGGGAAACAUGCUGGCCCCACCUCGUUUGUUCUUCCUCACACAACUCUGUGCACAUACAUGAAUUUGGUUCCCAGAAUUACUCAAACAUCAGAAAAAACAUUUUUACCAAGACCAGUUUCUUUACCAUUCAACCUGAGAUCUUGGCUCUUGCAAACAGAUCAUUUUAGACAUUUGAUCAUCAACUCCAGUUGAACAAGUGGACACCCAAAUGCACCCGUGAGGAGCAGAGCCAGGGAAUGUCCCAUUUGAACUUGCCUUUUUCUUCCCCAUCAGGUGAUGUGUAGCAGCCACCCACCAGAGUGUCCCCGAUGCUGGUGUGGCCUCUAAUCCUGACCCAUCUGUGGUCAGCUGGCUCACUGCAUACCCCAAAGCACAAAUUCCAGCUGCUCUUCAGAGAAAGGACAAUGCCCACCCCUUGCCUUCCCAGCCUGUCUUCCCUGAAGCCUGGCUUCACUCACUGCAGUGCUCC